UACGUAGGGGGCAAGCGUUGUCCGGAUUUAUUGGGCGUAAAGAGCUCGUAGGCGGUUCGGUAAGUCGGAUGUGAAAUCUCCACGCUCAACGUGGAGGGGCCAUUCGAUACUGCCGUGACUUGAGUACGGUAGGGGAGUGUGGAAUUCCCGGUGUAGCGGUGAAAUGCGCAGAGAUCGGGAGGAACACCCGUAGCGAAGGCGGCACUCUGGGCCGAUACUGACGCUGAGGAGCGAAAGCGUGGGGAGCAAACAGG
rnacentral:rRNA from 1 species